CACGAGCUCCAGGGAUGACGUGAACAGUCUCACGCUCCCCGUGGACUCCGCCAUUGUGUUCCUAGUUGAGAACGGCAGAUGCGUUCACAAGAUUUGUGGAGUCGAGAGAUGGAGGGCGAGAUGAGGUAUCAUUCAAGAUGGACACUGUAACAUGAGCUGUGUCGUGUGUGACUGCGAUCCCUUGAUAUGUGAUGAUAUGACCUGGUCGGAUGUCUCGAAGUUCGGAUAACUCGAUAUUUCUUCUUGGUCCCAUGGAUAUCAAGACAACGGUGCUCGACUGUAUCUUACAAAUUCUCCGAAGAAGAGUCAACACUCCUGUUGUUAUAUAUUACAAAUUCCCUAAAGAA